rnacentral:rRNA from 1 species
CCUACGGGAGGCAGCAGUGGGGAAUAUUGGACAAUGGGCGAAAGCCUGAUCCAGCAAUGCCGCGUGAGUGAUGAAGGCCUUAGGGUCGUAAAGCUCUUUUACCCGGGAUGAUAAUGACAGUACCGGGAGAAUAAGCUCCGGCUAACUCCGUGCCAGCAGCCGCGGUAAU